UGCACUCCCAGAGAAUAUUUCCUGUUCAUCAUGAAUGAGCUCCUCAUUUGCACCACUUGACGGGAAUUCGUCUUUGAACAUGACAUACGAACGCAUCAGCUUUUCGUUUCUCGUGUUCCUAAGCAGUUCCACUCGCAUUCCAUUCCAUAUAGCAACACUGCACUGUGAAGUCCCGAUAUCAAUUCCCAGAGCAACUUCAGGAAAAGAAGAUGGCCCCUUGUCAUCACCAGUUGUUUCACUGUCAGAUGCAACUGUGUAGAUCGGCUCUGCCAUCCUUGGAGAAGCUGGAGAUUGGAUCGCUGAGAAGAACGGAGAUCGGAUCGCUG
rnacentral:misc_RNA from 1 species